AGAACCUGCCCCUAGACUGAAAAUAGGGUCUGGAGUUUGGAGGGACUUGUAGGAAUGGCAGCUUUUAAGGCCCCCACUCAAAUGUGGUUCCAAAUGAGCUCUGAGAGGCACCAAGCAAAGGUCUACUUCAUUUACCACAGUCUUGCCCACCAGAGUCCCAGCGACCAGCAGCCACAUCAGGGAGAAGAAUCAAUGGAAAUGAAGUCUGUCCAUGGACUAAGUAUGGGCCCCUAUGUUCCUGGAACUGUGUAAGCCUGUGAUUCUUGUAGGAUUCCAUGCAGGGGAGUAAAAGGGCUUGAAUAAUAACUGAGAUUUGAUUUCCUGCAAGAUAUGCAAAAGAGGGCUCAAAGUGGGUGACAUACGGCUUAGAAUAAUAAGGAAUAUAACCUGUCUUACACUCUGGUGUUAUGAACUCAGUGAUAGCUACAACUGAUUACAUAAGAAACUGAGAAACUGAGAUCAAGGCAUGUUCCAUGCCAUCUCCAGAGGUCCCCGCCCAGAAGUGCUCA
rnacentral:lncRNA from 10 species